rnacentral:rRNA from 1 species
UUAUCCGGAUUUAUUGGGCGUACCAGCGAGCGCAUUGCGGUUAAUAAGUCUGAAGUUAAAGGCUGUGGCUUAACCAUAGUACGCUUUGGAAACUGUUUAACUUGAGUGCAGAAGGGGAGAGUGGAAUUCCGUGUGUAGCGGUGAAAUGCGUAGAUAUAUGGAGGAACACCGGUGGCGAAAGCGGCUCUCUGGUCUGUAACUGACGCUGAGGCUCGAAAGCGUGGGGAGCAAACAGGAUUAAUACCCUGGUAGUCAAGGGCGAAUUCGC